GGAACACAAACUUGAAGUAGAGUAGAUUGGUAGGAUCAGCUGACGACACCCAACUACUCUACUUCACGUUUGUGCCC
rnacentral:pre_miRNA from 1 species